rnacentral:rRNA from 1 species
AGUGAACGCUGGCGGUAGGCCUAACACAUGCAAGUCGAACGGCAGCACAGUAAGAGCUUGCUCUUACGGGUGGCGAGUGGCGGACGGGUGAGGAAUACAUCGGAAUCUACUUUUUCGUGGGGGAUAACGUAGGGAAACUUACGCUAAUACCGCAUACGACCUACGGGUGAAAGCAGGGGAUCUUCGGGCCUUGCGCGAUUGAAUGAGCCGAUGUCGGAUUAGCUAGUUGGCGGGGUAAAGGCCCACCAAGGCGACGAUCCGUAGCUGGUCUGAGAGGAUGAUAAGCCACACUGGAACUGAGACACGGUCCAGACUCCUACGGGAGGAAGCAGUGGGGAAUAUUGGACAAUGGGCGAAAGCCUGAUCCAGCCAUACCGCGUGGGUGAAGAAGGCCUUCGGGUUGUAAAGCCCUUUUGUUGGGAAAGAAAAGCAGCAGGUUAAUACCCCGCUGUUCUGACGGUACCAAAAGAAUAAGCACCGGCUAACUUCGUG